GGUGGCUUAGUGGUAGAGUGCUUGCCUUGAAUGCAUGAGGCUCUGGGUUCAAUUCCUCAGCACCA
rnacentral:tRNA from 1 species